rnacentral:rRNA from 1 species
CCUACGGGAGGCAGCAGUGGGGAAUAUUGCACAAUGGGCGCAAGCCUGAUGCAGCCAUGCCGCGUGUAUGAAGAAGGCCUUAGGGUUGUAAAGUACUUUCAGCGGGGAGGAAGGUGAUAAGGUUAAUACCCUUGUCAAUUGACGUUACCCGCAGAAGAAGCACCGGCUAACUCCGUGCCAGCAGCCGCGGUAAUACGGAGGGUGCAAGCGUUAAUCGGAAUUACUGGGCGUAAAGCGCACGCAGGCGGUCAAUUAAGUCAGAUGUGAAAGCCCCGAGCUUAACUUGGGAAUUGCAUCUGAAACUGGUUGGCUAGAGUCUUGUAGAGGGGGGUAGAAUUCCAUGUGUAGCGGUGAAAUGCGUAGAGAUGUGGAGGAAUACCGGUGGCGAAGGCGGCCCCCUGGACAAAGACUGACGCUCAGGUGCGAAAGCGUGGGGAGCAAACAGGAUUAGAUACCCUUGUAGUC